ACGAACCGUACAAACGUUAUUCGGAAUUAUUGGGCUUAAAGGGUGCGUAGGCUGCGCGGAAAGUUGGGUGUGAAAGCCCUCGGCUCAACCGAGGAAUUGCGCCCAAAACUACCGUGCUCGAGGGAGACAGAGGUGAGCGGAACUCAAGGUGGAGCGGUGAAAUGCGUUGAUAUCUUGAGGAACACCGGUGGCGAAAGCGGCUCACUGGGUCUCUUCUGACGCUGAGGCACGAAAGCCAAGGUAGCAAACGGG
rnacentral:rRNA from 1 species